rnacentral:rRNA from 1 species
AUUGAACGCUGGCGGAAUGCUUUACACAUGCAAGUCGAACGGCAGCACGGGGGCAGCCCUGGUGGCGAGUGGCGAACGGGUGAGUAAUACAUCGGAACGUGCCCGGUCGUGGGGGAUAACGUAGCGAAAGUUACGCUAAUACCGCAUACGAUCUGAGGAUGAAAGCGGGGGACCUUCGGGCCUCGCGCGAUCGGAGCGGCCGAUGUCAGAUUAGGUAGUUGGUGGGGUAAAGGCCUACCAAGCCGACGAUCUGUAGCUGGUCUGAGAGGACGACCAGCCGCACUGGGACUGAGACACGGCCCAGACUCCUACGGGAGGCAGCAGUGGGGAAUUUUGGACAAUGGGCGCAAGCCUGAUCCAGCCAUUCCGCGUGCGGGACGAAGGCCUUCGGGUUGUAAACUGCUUUUGUACGGAACGAAAAGGCUCUGGCUAAUACCUGGGGCUCAUGACGGUACCGUAAGAAUAAGCACCGGCUAACUACGUG